UACGAAGGGGGCUAGCGUUGCUCGGAAUCACUGGGCGUAAAGGGUGCGUAGGCGGGUCUUAAGUCAGGGGUGAAAUCCUGGAGCUCAACUCCAGAACUGCCUUUGAUACUGAGGAUCUUGAGUUCGGGAGAGGUGAGUGGAACUGCGAGUGUAGAGGUGAAAUCGUAGAUAUUCGCAAGAACACCAGUGGCGAAGGCGGCUCACUGGCCCGAUACUGACGCUGAGGCACGAAAGCGUGGGGAGCAAACAGG
rnacentral:rRNA from 1 species